rnacentral:rRNA from 1 species
UACGGAGGAUGCAAGCGUUAUCCGGAAUGAUUGGGCGUAAAGGGUCCGCAGGUGGCAGUGUAAGUCUGCUGUCAAAGAAUGAGGCUUAACCUCAUCAAGGCAGUGGAAACUACACAGCUAGAGUACGGUCGGGGUAGAAGGAAUUCCUGGUGUAGCGGUGAAAUGCGUAGAGAUCAGGAAGAACACCGGUGGCGAAGGCGGCAUCCUGGACCGGCAUUGACGCUGAGGCGCGAAAGCCAGGGGAGCAAACGGG